GGCGGCGUGCUUAACACAUGCAAGUCGAGCGGAAAGGCCCCUUCGGGGGUACUCGAGCGGCGAACGGGUGAGUAACACGUGAGCAACCUGCCCCUGACUCUGGGAUAAGCCUGGGAAACUGGGUCUAAUACCGGAUAUGACCAGCCUCCGCAUGGUGUGUUGGUGGAAAGUUCCUCGGUUGGGGAUGGGCUCGCGGCCUAUCAGCUUGUUGGUGGGGUGAUGGCCUACCAAGGCGACGACGGGUAACCGGCCUGAGAGGGCGACCGGUCACACUGGGACUGAAACACGGCCCAGACUCCUACGGGAGGCAGCAGUGGGGAAUAUUGCGCAAUGGGCGGAAGCCUGACGCAGCGACGCCGCGUGGGGGAUGACGGCCUUCGGGUUGUAAACCUCUUUCAGCAGGGACGAAGCUAACGUGACGGUACCUGCAGAAGAAGCGCCGGCUAACUACGUGCCAGCAGCCGCGGUAAUACGUAGGGCGCAAGCGUUGUCCGGAAUUAUUGGGCGUAAAGAGCUCGUAGGCGGUUUGUCGCGUCUGUCGUGAAAGCCCACGGCUUAACCGUGGGUCUGCGGUGGAUACGGGCAGACUAGAGGCAGGUAGGGGAGAAUGGAAUUCCCGGUGUAGCGGUGAAAUGCGCAGAUAUCGGGAGGAACACCGGUGGCGAAGGCGGUUCUCUGGGCCUGUACUGACGCUGAGGAGCGAAAGCGUGGGGAGCGAACAGGAUUAGAUACCCUGGUAGUCCACGCCGUAAACGUUGGGCGCUAGGUGUGGGGUCCUUCCACGGAUUCCGCGCCGUAGCUAACGCAUUAAGCGCCCCGCCUGGGGAGUACGGCCGC
rnacentral:rRNA from 1 species